rnacentral:tRNA from 1 species
GGCUCUGUGGUGUAGUGGUAGCACACUCACCCCGCAAGUGAGAGAUCCGGGUUCAAAUCCCGGCAGAGCAA